rnacentral:rRNA from 1 species
UCGAGGAUAUUUAGCAAUGCCCGAAAGGGUGACUAUGCGACGCCGCGUGUGCGAUGAAGGUCUUCGGAUCGUAAAGCACUGUCAGCUGGGAGGAAUCUCUGGAGGCUUAAUAAGCUUGCAGGGUGACAGUACCGGCAGAGGAAGCCACGGCUAACUCCGUGCCAGCAGCCGCGGUAAUACGGAGGUGGCAGGCGUUACUCGGAUUGAUUGGGUGUAAAGGGUGUGUAGGUGGCGAGUUAAGUCGAAUGUGAAAUCCCAUGGCUCAACCAUGGAACUGCAUUCGAAACUGACUUGCUUGAGCGACUGAGAGGUAAAUGGAAUUCCCGGUGUAACAGUGAAAUGUGUAGAUAUCGGGAGGAACACCAGUGGCGAAGGCGAUUUACUGGCAGUCUGCUGACACUGAAACACGAGAGCUAGGGGAGCAAACAGG